rnacentral:rRNA from 1 species
GACGAACGCUGGCGGCGUGCUUAACACAUGCAAGUCGAACGGAAAGGCCCUGCUUUUGUGGGGUGCUCGAGUGGCGAACGGGUGAGUAACACGUGAGUAACCUGCCCUUGACUUUGGGAUAACUUCAGGAAACUGGGGCUAAUACCGGAUAGGAGCUCCUGCUGCAUGGUGGGGGUUGGAAAGUUUCGGCGGGUGGGGAUGGACUCGCGGCUUAUCAGCUUGUUGGUGGGGUAGUGGCUUACCAAGGCUUUGACGGGUAGCCGGCCUGAGAGGGUGACCGGCCACAUUGGGACUGAGAUACGGCCCAGACUCCUACGGGAGGCAGCAGUGGGGAAUAUUGCACAAUGGGCGGAAGCCUGAUGCAGCAACGCCGCGUGCGGGAUGACGGCCUUCGGGUUGUAAACCGCUUUCGCCUGUGACGAAGCGUGAGUGACGGUAAUGUGUAAAGAAGCACCGGCUAACUACGUG